rnacentral:rRNA from 1 species
GGACCACACAAACGUUAUUCGGAAUUACUGGGCUUAAAGGGUGCGUAGGCUGUGCAGAAAGUUGGGUGUGAAAUCCCUCAGCUUAACUGAGGAAGUGCGCCCAAAACUACUGUGCUCGAGGGAGAUAGAGGUGAGCGGAACUUAGGGUGGAGCGGUGAAAUGCGUUGAUAUCCUAAGGAACACCGGCGGCGAAGGCGGCUCACUGGGUCUCUUCUGACGCUGAUGCACGAAAGCUAGGGUAGCGAACGGGAUUAGAUACCCCGGUAGUCCUAGCCGUAAACGAUGGGCACUGGAUUGGAGAACCCUCCAUAGUUUUCCAGUCGUAGCGAAAGUGUUAAGUGCUCCGCCUGGGGAGUAUGGUCGCAAGGCUG